rnacentral:guide_RNA from 1 species
ACCGGAGAGGGCAUAUGUCCUCGUAGCUCGUGGUAUAU